GUGCCAGCCGCCGCGGUAAAACGUAGGGGGCGAGCGUUGUCCGGAAUUACUGGGCGUAAAGGGCGUGUAGGCGGCUAGGUAAGUCAGGUGUGAAAACUUUGGGCUCAACCGGGAGAUUGCACCUGAAACUGCGUAGCUUGAGGGUAGGAGAGGGAAGUGGAAUUCCUAGUGUAGCGGUGAAAUGCGUAGAUAUUAGGAGGAACACCAGUGGCGAAGGCGACUUUCUGGCCUAACCCUGACGCUGAGGCGCGAAAGCGUGGGGAGCAAACAGGAUUAGAUACCCUGGUAGUCCACGCCGUAAACGAUGGGUACUAGGUGUAGGAGGUAUCGACCCCUUCUGUGCCGCAGCAAACGCAUUAAGUACCCCGCCUGGGGAGUACGGCCGCAAGGCUGAAACUCAAAUAAAUUGGCGG
rnacentral:rRNA from 1 species